UGGGGAAUUUUGGACAAUGGGCGCAAGCCUGAUCCAGCCAUGCCGCGUGCGGGAAGAAGGCCUUCGGGUUGUAAACCGCUUUUGUCAGGGAAGAAAUCUUCUGAGUUAAUACCUCGGGAGGAUGACGGUACCUGAAGAAUAAGCACCGGCUAACUACGUGCCAGCAGCCGCGGUAAUACGUAGGGUGCAAGCGUUAAUCGGAAUUACUGGGCGUAAAGCGUGCGCAGGCGGUUUUGUAAGACAGGGGUUGAAAUCCCCGGGCUCAACCUGGGAACUGCCUUUGUGACUGCAAGGCUUGAGUGCGGCAGAGGGGGAUGGAAUUCCGCGUGUAGCAGUGAAAUGCGUAGAUAUGCGGAGGAACACCGAUGGCGAAGGCAAUCCCCUGGGCCUGCACUGACGCUCAUGCACGAAAGCGUGGGGAGCAAACAGGAUUAGAUACCCUGGUAGUCCACGCCCUAAACGAUGUCAACUGGUUGUUGGGAAGGUUCCUUCUCAGUAACGUAGCUAACGCGUGAAGUUGACCGCCUGGGGAGUACGGCCGCAAGGUUGAAACUCAAAUGAAUUGACGGGGUCAUAGCUGUUUCCUG
rnacentral:rRNA from 1 species